CCCUGGUUAUCCAAGAUGCUUUUCUCAGGUUGGGACCUUCAUAUGCCAAACAGCUUACAGGGCUUUUGAGGGAAAAGCAGAGCAGGGGUCAGGACUUGAGGCCACACUGCUAUUUCACUUGCUUACUGCAAAAUCGGAGACUUCAGUCAACAGCUUGAAACACAGAUUUCUCACGUGUUACCAAGUGUUACCAGAGUUAUGUCACAACCAACCACUCCAGGAUAUUCUGUGUCUGCUUGAUCAGUAAC
rnacentral:lncRNA from 1 species